AUUGCUCACUCUCCCUCAAGGGCUUCCAGCGACAUGCAUGACAAGGCUGGAGGUCAUCGGGGAGAGUGGACAA
rnacentral:pre_miRNA from 1 species